rnacentral:rRNA from 1 species
GGUGAACGCUGGCGGCGUGCCUAACACAUGCAAGUCGAGCGGUGCAGUUUGAAGCUUCGGUGGAAAGCUGCAUAGCGGCGGACGGGUGAGGAAACGUAGGAACGUGCCCCUUGGAGUUGGAUAGCCACGGGAAACUGUGGGUAAACCGACAUAGACUCGAGAGAGUAAAGGCCGAAAGGUGCCAAGGGAGCGGCCUGCGGCCCAUCAGGUAGUUGGUAGUGUAAAGGACUACCAAGCCGACGACGGGUAGCCGGUCUGAGAGGAUGGCCGGCCACAAGGGCACUGAGAGACGGGCCCUACUCCUACGGGAGGCAGCAGUGGGGGAUUUUGGACAAUGGGCGAAAGCCUGAUCCAGCGACGCCGCGUGGAGGACGAAGCCCUUCGGGGUGUAAACUCCUUUUCUCAGGGAAAAAGGAUGAUGGUACCUGAGGAAUAAGCCCCGGCUAACUACGUG